rnacentral:lncRNA from 1 species
UUUUUUUUUCUUUUUUUUCUUUUUAAAGGAAAGAACUAGCAUUUGUUUGUAUGUACAGUUUCUUCAAUAUGUUCAAUGAUUUUGAUAUUCUUCCCCACAAAAUUUUCCUAAAUUUCUCAUUUCUUCUCACCUAUGCUCUCUUUAUCGUACCACCCUUUAUCUUGUCUUGUGUGUCAAUAAUUUUCAGACUUUCAUAUUAUUGGCAUUGAUUGUCAACUUAUGAUUCAUUCACUGUUGGCAUUUUCCAGUUUCCAAUCUACUAUCAUUUGUGUUAGGAUAGUUUUUUUACAUUUUCGAUACUGUUGUUAAGGCCUCUGCUUACCUUUCAAUUCAUAUAAUAUGGAUACUCAAACAAUCCUAUGUAUAUGGUUAGGGACUCCCUUGAAAUUAAGAAAAAACAAAAUAAAAAUGAGACAGCAUGUAACUCCUAUAACAUCACAGCCCACUGUUCGAAUCCAAUCACUAUUCAAGAAUAUGGCCUUUACAAAGAGAUGAACCAAAUAGAUGCACAAAUAAAACAUUGAUUCUGUUAAAAUAUCUAUUAAAAUUAUAACAUGUCUUGUUUGUUACAUUUAAUGAAACAAAACUCAAACUCCAUACACAGCUAGAACAGAGUCCAUAAUAUAACAUAUUAAAGGAAAACCGUGCAUACUUACAUUGUGUAAUUGAAGUCAGCCACAUAAAGACAUAACAUCAUCCCAUCUGCCACUGCAUUAACAUAAUGAACCAGUAAGGAAUUGAUUUGAAGAAUCACUUCCAGAUUCUAUAAAUUAUUUUAGUAGUGCAUGACAUGGGAAGAGUCAACUCCCAUAUAUCAAG